CUUGUGUUUGGCAAACUAGUGCUUGUAUUUAGCUGGCAGAGAGAAUGCUUUGAAAAGAAACAGUCACUAAUUCUUCUCUUGAAGACAGAAAAGACAAAAAUAUCCACUAGGAGGUGAAACGAGUCCUAAGCUCUUAACUCCUUAAAAGUUGGUGAAUUCUCACUAUAAAACAUGGAUAUGAACUCUGUCUGGAUCACUGCCACCAAAGAUUAUUAAAUAGUUUGGAAACAAGGUUGGAUCCAAU
rnacentral:lncRNA from 1 species